UCCAGGCCCUACGGGGUGCAGCAGGCGCGAAACCUUUACAAUGCACGCAAGUGUGAUAAGGGGACCCUCAGUGCUCAUGUAUAACAUGGGCUUUUGCCAAGCGUAAAUAGUUUGGCGAAUAAGUGGUGGGUAAGACUGGUGCCAGCCGCCGCGGUAACACCAGCGCCACGAGUGGCAACCACGUUUAUUGGGCCUAAAGCGUCCGUAGUCGGUUUAGUAAAUCUCUUGUGAAAUCGUCGGGCUCAACCCGACGGCAUGCUCGAGACACUGCUUUACUUGAGACCGGGAGGGGUCAGAGGUAUUCCUGAGGGAGCGGUAAAAUGUGAUAAUCUCAGGAGGAUCACCUAUGGCGAAGGCAUCUGACCAGAACGGAUCUGACGAUCAGGGACGAAAGGCUAGGGGAGCGACCCGGAUUAGAUACCCGAGUAGUCCUAGCAGUAAACGCUGCGAGCAAGAUGUUGCGCUUCUUAAGAGGAUGUGCAGUGUCGAAGAGAAGUCAUUAAGCUCGCCGCCUGGGAAGUACGGUCGCAAGACUGAAACUUUAAGGAAUUGGCGGGGGAGCACCACCAGGGGUGCGGCGUGCGGUUUAAUCUAACUCCACACAGAGAACCUUACUAGAAGCGACGGCAGGAAGAAAGUCAUGCUGAAGACAUUACUUGACGAGCCGAGAGGUAGUGCAUGGCCGCCGUCAGCUCGUGCCGUAAGGUGUCCAGUUAAGUCUGGCAACGAGCGAGACCUAUACUUACUAUUGCUAGUAGCUACUUCGGUAGGACUGAGCACUUUGUAAGGACUGCCUUGGAAACAAGGAGGAAGGUGUAGGCAACGGUAGGUCUGUAUGCUCCGAAUCUUCUAGGCUACACGCGCGCAACAAUGGUAAUGACAAUGGGCUGCAACUCCGAAAGGAGAAGCUAAUCCUCUAAACAUUACCUCAGUUCGGAUUGCGGGUUGUAACUCACCCGCAUGACGCCGGAAUCUCUAGUAACCAGAGUUCAUCAAAUUCUGGUGAAUAUGUCCCUGCCCCUUGUACUCACCCGCCCGUC
rnacentral:rRNA from 1 species